UAUGUGAUCGUCUCUCGCAUAUCAAUAAGCGGAGGAAAAGAAACUAACAAGGAUUCCCCUAGUAACGGCGAGUGAAGCGGGAAGAGCUCAAAUUUGAAAUCUUAAAGGGUUUCCCUUUACGAAUUGUAGUUUAAAGAAGUGUUUUCUGUUGAGGUUUUGGUAAAAGUUCUUUGGAAUAGGACAUCAUAGAGGGUGAGAAUCCCGUAUUUGACCUUUACUUUCAACUUUGUGAUACACUUUCAAAGAGUCGGAUUGUUUGGGAAUGCAGUCCAAAAUGGGUGGUAAAUUUCAUCUAAAGCUAAAUAUUGGCGGGAGACCGAUAGCGAACAAGUACCGUGAGGGAAAGAUGAAAAGAACUUUGAAAAGAGAGUUAAACAGUACGUGAAAUUGUCAAAAGGGAAGCGUUUGACACCAGUGUUGUUUUUCUGAAAAUCAAUUAAAGAACUGUUUAUGCUAAGUUGUUUAGACUUUAUCAGCUAACUGUUUAGUUUUGAGCUUUUCUUUAAUGCACUUUUCAGUUAACAAGUCAACAUCAAUUUCUUUUGCUGUAAAAAAGCUUGAGGAAGGUGGCUUGAGAUUCGUCUUAAGUGUUUAUAGCCUCUUGCCUAUGCAGUCGGAGAGAUUGAGGUCUGCAGCGUAGAUCCUUCGGGGCUAAAUGCAUUUGUGCUAAGUUAUAACAUUUUAUAGACAACUUGUUGACUAUGAUUUGUCUUGUAGCUUACUCGCUUAUGUUAUUUUACCUACGCUUAGGAUGUUGAGCGCAUGUCUCUCUCU
rnacentral:rRNA from 1 species